rnacentral:tRNA from 1 species
GCGAAUAUAGCUCAGUUGGUUAGAGCGUCCGGUUGUGGUCCGGAAGGUCGUGGGUUCGAUCCCCACUAUUCGCCCCA